ACGAACGCUGGCGGCGUGCCUAAUACAUGCAAGUUGAACGCAACAAAGACACCAGAGCUUGCUCUACCGUCUUUGUUGAGUAGCGAACGGGUGAGUAACGCGUGGGUAACCUGCCUUAUAGCGGGGGAUAACUAUUGGAAACGAUAGCUAAUACCGCAUAACAAUAGAGAUUGCAUAAUCUUUAUUUGAAAGUGCCAACUGGUACACUAUGAGAUGGACCCGCGUUGUAUUAGCUAGUUGGUAGUGUAAUGGACUACCAAGGCGAUGAUACAUAGCCGACCUGAGAGGGUGAUCGGCCACAUUGGGACUGAGACACGGCCCAAACUCCUACGGGAGGCAGCAGUAGGGAAUCUUCGGCAAUGGACGAAAGUCUGACCGAGCAACGCCGCGUGAGUGAAGAAGGUUUUCGGAUCGUAAAAUUCUGUUGUUAGAGAAGAAUGUUGAUUAGAGUGGAAAAUUAAUCAAGUGACGGUAUCUAACCAGAAAGGGACGGCUAACUACGUGCCAGCAGCCGCGGUAAUACGUAGGUCCCGAGCGUUGUCCGGAUUUAUUGGGCGUAAAGCGAGCGCAGGUGGUUUAAUAAGUCUGAUGUAAAAGGCAGUGGCUCAACCAUUGUGUGCAUUGGAAACUGUUAGACUUGAGUGCAGUAGAGGAGAGUGGAAUUCCAUGUGUAGCGGUGAAAUGCGUAGAUAUAUGGAGGAACACCGGUGGCGAAAGCGGCUCUCUGGACUGUCACUGACACUGAGGCUCGAAAGCGUGGGUAGCAAACAGGAUUAGAUACCCUGGUAGUCCACGCCGUAAACGAUGAGUGCUAGUUGUUUGGGGCUAUCCAGCCCUAAGUGACGCAGCAAACGCAUUAAGCACUCCGCCUGGGGGAGUACGACCGCAAGGUUG
rnacentral:rRNA from 1 species